GCUGUGGUGGCGCAGUUGGAUAGUGUCUGUCUGUAAACGAGACGGUUGGGAGUUCAAUUCCCAUUUUUAUCA
rnacentral:tRNA from 1 species